rnacentral:rRNA from 1 species
AUGAUCCGGCGGCUGCUCCUGCUGCUCUGCCAGCUCGCCCUCGCCGGCGCAGCGUCGGGUUCCAAGGUAGUGACCAGACUCCCCGGGUUCCAUGGGCGUCUCCCCUUCCACCUCGAGACCGGGUACGUGGAGGUGGACGAGGACAGCGGCACCGAGCUGUUCUACUACUUUGUCGAGUCGGAGGCCGGCGGCGAGAAUGUCCCUUUCCUCCUCUGGCUCACCGGCGGCGACCAUUGCUCCGUACUCAGCGGCCUUGCGUUCGAGAUCGGUCCAUUCAAGUUCGUCGUAGAGCCUUACAAUGGCACCAUACCGAGCCUGGAAAUCAAUCCGAACUCAUGGACCAAGGUGGCACAUAUCCUCUUCGUUGAUUCGCCGACCGGGGCAGGAUUUUCCUUUUCCAAACAACCCAAAGGUUACCAUGUUGGGGAUUUAUCUAGCUCACUGCAGCUCCAUGAGUUCCUUAUCAAGUGGAUUAGGGACCAUCCCAAGUUUCUAUCAAGUCCUCUCUACAUUGGGGGAGACUCGUAUGCUGGAAAAAUUGUACCAUUCAUCGCACAGAAGAUUUCCCAAGGUAAUGAAGUUGGAAGGAGACCCCUUCUUAAUCUCAAGGGCUAUCUAGUAGGUAACCCGAAAACGGGUGAAAGGAUCGACGAAAGCUCCAAAGUGCCUUUCGCUCACGGAUUUGGUAUAAUAUCAGAUCAAUUAUAUGAGACGAUAUUGGGGCAUUGCCAAGGACAGGACUACAAGAAUCCUACAAACGUGAUGUGUGCCAAAGCUCUGGGUACUUUCCAUAGUCUGCUCUCCGAAGUUAUGUUGCCCCAGAUUUUGUGGUACAAAUGCGUUUAUUCAUCUGCGGGACCGAACCCGGAGACGGACGACUCGGCUGGUGCUGGCAGGAAGAUCUUAAGCGAGGUAGCAGCUGAAAUCAAAAUGGGGAAACGGCUAAAACAUCCGCCAGUUCGUCCUCCGCUUGACUGUAUUGACUACGCCCACUACCUGUCGUAUUUCUGGGCGAACGACGAGCGCACCCGGGACGCCCUCGGCGUCAAGAACGGCACCGUGGAUGAGUGGGUGAGGUGCCAAGACGGCGGCGUCCCGUACACCAAGGACCUCGCGAGCAGCAUCAAGUAUCACCAGAACGUUACGGCCAACGGUUACCGCGCGCUUGUGUACAGCGGCGACCACGAUUCGGUGGUGCCGCACCUGGGGACGCAGGCGUGGGUGAGGUCGCUCGGCUUCCCCAUCGUCGACGACUGGAGGGCCUGGCAUCUCCAUGGCCAGUCUGCCGGGUUCACCAUAACUUACACUAACAACAUGACAUUCGCAACCGUAAAGGGUGGUGGUCACACGGCGCCUGAGUACGAGCCUGAGAGGUGCUUCGCCAUGUUCAGCCGUUGGAUACUGAAUCAACCACUCUAG